rnacentral:rRNA from 1 species
GUUAACAAAAACAUGUCCUUUUGAUUAUAAUUUAAGGUCUAAUCUGCCCACUGAAGAUUUAAAUGGCCGCGGUAUUUUGACCGUGCAAAGGUAGCAUAAUAAUUAGUUUCUUAAUUAGAAGCUGGAAUGAAAGAUUGAAUGAGAAAAUAACUGUCUCAAAUUAAAUUUUUUAGAAUUUUAUUUUUAAGUUAAAAAGCUUAAAUAUAGUUAAAAGACGAGAAGACCCUAUAGAGUUUUAUUUAAUAUUUUUUUAAGUAGGUAUAAAUUUAAUUAUUAUUUUUGAAAGUACUAAAUUUUGUUGGGGUGACAGAAAAAUUUAUUAAACUUUUUUUAUAUUUGAACAUUGAUUUAUGAUUGAUUGAUCCAAAUUUUUUUGAUUAUAAGAUAAAAUUACCUUAGGGAUAACAGCGUAAUUUUUUUUGAGAGUUCUUAUCGAAAAAAGAGAUUGCGACCUCGAUGUUGGAUUAAAGUUAAAUUUUGGUGUAGAAGCUAAAAAUUUAGGUCUGUUCGACCUUUAAAACUUUACAUGAUCUGAGUUCAGACCGG